rnacentral:rRNA from 1 species
ACGCUGGCGGCGUGCUUAACACAUGCAAGUCGAACGAUGAAGACCGUGCUUGCACGGUUGGAUUAGUGGCGAACGGGUGAGUAUCACGUGAGUAACCUUCCCUUGACUCUGGGAUAAGCCCGGGAAACUGGGUCUAAUACCGGAUACGACCAGUCCUCGCAUGGGGUGCUGGUGGAAAGAUUUAUCGGUCUUGGAUGGACUCGCGGCCUAUCAGCUUGUUGGUGAGGUAAAGGCUCACCAAGGCGAUGACGGGUAGCCGGCCUGAGAGGGUGACCGGCCACACUGGGACUGAGACACGGCCCAGACUCCUACGGGAGGCAGCAGUGGGGAAUAUUGCACAAUGGGCGAAAGCCUGAUGCAGCGACGCCGCGUGCGGGAUGACGGCCUUCGGGUUGUAAACCGCUUUCAGCAGGGAAGAAGCGAAAGUGACGGUACCUGCAGAAGAAGCGCCGGCUAACUACGUGCCAGCAGCCGCGGUAAUACGUAGGGCGCGAGCGUUAUCCGGAAUUAUUGGGCGUAAAGAGCUCGUAGGCGGUUUGUCACGUCUGCUGUGAAAGCCCGGGGCUCAACCCCGGGUGUGCAGUGGGUACGGGCAGACUA